rnacentral:tmRNA from 1 species
UUAAGAGGAUAAGCGAUGGCUUGGGUGUCACUUUCCGGACCAUCGUCGAAAACCAAUAAGUGACUAAGCAUGUAGAAAGCAUAUGGAUUCCGUGUUUGGACCAGGGUUCGAUUCCCUGCUGCUCCACGA